GAUGAAGAACGAAGUGAAAUGCGAUACGUAGUGUGAAUUGCAGAAUUCAGUGAAUCAUCGAAUCUUUGAACGCACAUUGCACCUCUCGGUAUUCCGGGAGGUAUGCCUGUUCGAGCGUCAUUUGUACCCUCAAGCUCUGCUUCGUGUUGGGUGUUUGUUCCGCCUCUGUGUGUGAACUCGCCUCAAAACAAUUGGCAGCCGGCGUACUUGUUUCGGAGCGCAGCACAUUUUGCGAUCCAGAUCAACGUACAGCGGCAUCCAAGAAGCCUUAUUUAACGCUCUUGACCUCGGAUCAGGUAGGGAUACCCGCUGAACUUAAGCAUAUCAUAAGCGGAGA
rnacentral:misc_RNA from 1 species